UACAGAGGUCUCAAGCGUUGUUCGGAUUCAUUGGGCGUAAAGGGUGCGUAGGUGGUUUUGUAAGUUAGAUGUGAAAUUCCUGGGCUUAACCUGGGGACUGCGUCUGAUACUGCGAAGCUAGAGUACUGUAGAGGGAAGUGGAAUUUCCGGUGUAGCAGUGAAAUGCGUAGAUAUCGGAAGGAACAUCAGUGGCGAAGGCGACUUCCUGGACAGAUACUGACACUGAGGCACGAAAGCGUGGGGAGCAAACAGG
rnacentral:rRNA from 1 species